UACGUAGGGUGCGAGCGUGUCCGGAAUUACUGGGCGUAAAGAGCUCGUAGGUGGUUUGUCGCGUUGUUCGUGAAAUCUCACGGCUUAACUGUGAGCGUGCGGGCGAUACGGGCAGACUAGAGUGCGGUAGGGGGAGAACUGGAAUUCCUGGUGUAGGCGGUGAAAUGCGCAGAUAUCAGGAGGAACACCGGUGGCGAAGGCGGGUCUCUGGGCCGUAACUGACGCUGAGGAGCGAAAGCGUGGGGGAGCGAAACAGGG
rnacentral:rRNA from 1 species